CCCCUAGACGUUCUGGGCUGCACGCGCGCUACAAUAAUACGCACAGCGAGUAUCACCGAGCUCGAAAGGGCAAGGUAAACAAUAGAAAAGGUACUGUAAUGGUUAUAGAUCCUUGUAAUUAUUGAUCUUCAACGAGGAAUUCCUAGUAAGUAUGUGUCAUCAUCACGCACUGAUUACGUCCCUGCCCUUUGUACACACCGCCCGUCGCUCCUACCGAUUGAGUGAGCCGAUGAAACUGCCGGAUGUGGACUAUUCAUAGUCUGCAGAAGAUAUUUGAAUCGCAGCGCUUAGAGGAAGGAGAAGUCGUAACA
rnacentral:rRNA from 1 species